CGAAGUCAAGAGGAGCUUGCUCUUUUUGACUUAGUGGCGAACGGGUGAGUAACGCGUGAGGAACCUGCCUCAAAGAGGGGGACAACAGUUGGAAACGACUGCUAAUACCGCAUAAGCCCACAGCUCCGCAUGGAGCAGAGGGAAAAGGAGCAAUCCGCUUUGAGAUGGCCUCGCGUCCGAUUAGCUAGUUGGUGAGGUAACGGCCCACCAAGGCGACGAUCGGUAGCCGGACUGAGAGGUUGAUCGGCCACAUUGGGACUGAGACACGGCCCAGACUCCUACGGGAGGCAGCAGUGGGGAAUAUUGCACAAUGGGGGAAACCCUGAUGCAGCGACGCCGCGUGGAGGAGGAAGGUCUUCGGAUUGUAAACUCCUGUUGUUGGGGAAGAUAAUGACGGUACCCAACAAGGAAGUGACGGCUAACUACGUGCCAGCAGCCGCGGUAAAACGUAGGUCACAAGCGUUGUCCGG
rnacentral:rRNA from 1 species